rnacentral:rRNA from 1 species
UGGGGAAUUUUGGACAAUGGGCGCAAGCCUGAUCCAGCCAUGCCGCGUGAGUGAAGAAGGCCUUCGGGUUGUAAAGCCCUUUUGUUGGGAAAGAAAUCCAGCUGGUUAAUACCCGGUUGGGAUGACGGUACCCAAAGAAUAAGCACCGGCUAACUUCGUGCCAGCAGCCGCGGUAAUACGUUGGGUGCAAGCGUUAAUCGGAAUUACUGGGCGUAAAGCGUGCGCAGGCGGUCAUGCAAGACAGAUGUGAAAUCCCCGGGCUCAACCUGGGAACUGCAUUUGUGACUGCAUAGCUGGAGUGCGGCAGAGGGGGAUGGAAUUCUGCGUGUAGCAGUGAAAUGCGUAGAUAUGCGGAGGAACACCGAUGGCGAAGGCAGCCAUCUGGCCUAAUACUGACGCUGAGGUACGAAAGCAUGGGGAGCAAACA